UACAUGUGGGGCAAGCGUUGUUCGGAAUUACUGGGCAUAAAGGGUGCGUAGGCGGUUUGUUAAGUCCCUGGUGAAAGUUUUCGGCCCAACCGGAAAAUUGCCUGUGAUACUGGCGAACUUGAGUGCGUGAGGGGUGGGGGGAACGAGCAGUGUAGCGGUGAAAUGCGUAGAUAUUGCUCGGAAGGCCGGAGCCGAAGGGGCCCCACUGGUACGUAACUGACGCUGAGGCACGAAAGCGUGGGGAGCAAACAGG
rnacentral:rRNA from 1 species